GCUGGCGGCGGGCAUUCGCGGCGGCGGCGCGUAGCACUGGAGUGAGUGUUAUGGUGGUGGGGACGACUUCAACACCAUGGCUGCUGCUUCGCCCACUCCCUCCAACCGUGACAGGCGCCGCCGCACUCGCCGCAUCCUUGAUCCGAUUUUGUUGGUAGCAGACAAGCAUCAGCAGCGAGCCAGCGACAGCGGCGGCUAGCAGCGCUCGACAACGAGGGAUGGCCUUUGAAGCAGCACCUGUCUCACCCCAACCCAUUUUCGUCCAAAGGGGAGGCGCAAUUACGAUGAGCAUGCGGAUGAAGGCGGCGGCGCAAUCCUGAUGCUCACAAGACACAACUACCACAACUACAAGAAGCUGCUUGGUUGUGUUUGUACUUUUGAUUCCAACUCCAUGGUGCUUGACAACAUGCGGAAGAAGAGCAAGAGGAAGGAUCUGACUGUGAAGAACAAGUUCACCAGCAUAUGGAUUUUUUUUAUUUUUAACCUUUUUUAAUAAUAUUUUAAUUUCAACCCGUAUUGAUUUUUAUUUGCAGGGAGUAGCCCGUUUGGUCGUGCCACUUGCCCCGGCGCGACAGAUAGCAUCUGUCGCGCCAGUGUAUGUGGCGCGACAGGGUGGCCACGCUGGCGGCCCGAGCCAGCGCUGCCCUGCGUCGGCGAUGACGUGGCCCUACCUGU